rnacentral:rRNA from 1 species
AUUGAACGCUGGCGGAACGCUUUACACAUGCAAGUCGAACGGUAGAGGGGGCAACCCCUCGAGAGUGGCGAACGGGUGAGUAAUAUAUCGGAACGUGCCCAGUCGUGGGGGAUAACGUAGCGAAAGUUACGCUAAUACCGCAUACGAUCUAAGGAUGAAAGCGGGGGAUCGCAAGACCUCGCGCGAUUGGAGCGGCCGAUAUCAGAUUAGGUAGUUGGGGGGGUAAAGGCUCACCAAGCCAACGAUCUGUAGCUGGUCUGAGAGGACGACCAGCCACACUGGAACUGAGACACGGUCCAGACUCCUACGGGAGGCAGCAGUGGGGAAUUUUGGACAAUGGACGCAAGUCUGAUCCAGCCAUUCCGCGUGCAGGAUGAAGGCCCUCGGGUUGUAAACUGCUUUUGUACGGAACGAAAAGGUCUCUCUUAAUACGGGGGACUCAUGACGGUACCGUAAGAAUAAGCACCGGCUAACUACGUGCCAGCCGCCGCGGUAAAAC